AGACAGGUAAGCUAAGUAAAGCUAGUGGGUUCAUGCCCCAUUUAUAGGUUAACACCUCCUUUCUAAUG
rnacentral:tRNA from 1 species